UUUAUUUCGUUACCUACUUACCUCCUGAUCAUAACCAAUCUCUGUUGUAUUUGCUGUUUGUUUGAUGCUUAGGCUGAUCAUCGUCAACGCGAAUACACGUAACGGGUGGUGCUCAUUUACCUCUGGGUCUUCGGAGCAAGCCAUGUCCAGGGCUCGAGUCUACGCCGACGUCAAUGUUCACCGCCCUAGAGAUUACUGGGACUACGAGUCUCUCACCGUUCAGUGGGGUGAUCAAGAUGACUAUGAGGUUGUUCGAAAAGUUGGAAGGGGAAAAUACAGUGAAGUUUUUGAGGGUUUAAAUGUUACUAACAAUGAGAAAUGCAUUAUCAAGAUCCUUAAACCCGUCAAGAAAAAGAAGAUAAAGAGGGAGAUUAAAAUUCUACAGAAUCUUUGUGGAGGCCCAAAUAUUGUGAAGCUGCUUGAUAUUGUUAGAGAUCAGCACUCAAAGACUCCUAGCUUGGUCUUUGAAUAUGUGAACAGUACAGAUUUGAAAGUUUUGUACCCCACGCUGACUGAUUACGACAUACGCUACUAUAUAUACGAGCUUCUCAAGGCGUUGGAUUACUGCCAUUCGCAAGGCAUUAUGCAUAGAGAUGUCAAGCCUCACAAUGUUAUGAUUGACCACGAGCUGCGAAAACUUCGCUUGAUUGAUUGGGGUCUUGCUGAAUUCUACCAUCCUAGCAAAGAAUACAAUGUCCGAGUGGCUUCAAGGUAUUUUAAGGGGCCUGAACUACUUGUUGACUUACAAGACUAUGACUAUUCAUUGGACAUGUGGAGCCUGGGCUGCAUGUUUGCAGGAAUGAUUUUUCGGAAGGAGCCAUUCUUUUAUGGUCAUGACAAUCAUGAUCAGCUUGUCAAAAUUGCGAAGGUUCUUGGGACUGAUGAGUUGAAUGCAUAUUUGAACAAAUAUCAUCUGGUGCUUGAUCCACAGCUUGAUUCUCUUGUUGGAAGACACAGCAGGAAGCCAUGGUCCAGAUUUAUGAAUGCGGAUAAUCAACAUCUAGUUUCCCCAGAGGCCUUUGAUUUCCUAGAUAAGCUUCUCUGUUAUGAUCAUCAGGAUAGGCCUACAGCAAGAGAAGCAAUGUAGGAUUGGAGCAUGUCUUCUCUGGAUUAGCUUUGAGGCUUGAGAUCAAGAUUUGAAAGCUUUACCCUCUCUUUCCACUGCCCCUAUCCACAUCUUCUGAGCCUGCAAAAGGAUGGGCAUAUUCUUUCUAAUUGUUUUUCCUGAUUAAGAUAGACAGAGUUCAAACCCCAGGGGCUCAUCCAUAUUUCCAUCAGGUGAGAAGUGCAGAAAACAGCAGGACUCGGACACAAUAAUCCUAGCCACGCAGAGUAAUUUUUUAAGCUGAAUCGUAUUCCAUUCAGGCCAUUUUAUGUGUUGUAGCUUGUGCACGGUUAAUACAUGAUAAAUAGCUAUCUACAUUAGGUGGUUGGUCGGUCAGAUUUUUGUUUGCUGGUAUUUUUUUCACAUGCAUUUUUUGCUGUAUAUUGUUCUAUUAGCUCAUAGGUUUUAUAUGAAGUUUCUCAGACUCAGGAUAUUGCUGCUGUUAGUAAUUAGUACUAUAAAUGCUGGUAUUUUUCUGCC